CAGUCGCCGCGGUAAUACGGAGGGUGCGAGCGUUAAUCGGAAUUACUGGGCGUAAAGCGUACGCAGGCGGUUUGUUAAGUCAGAUGUGAAAUCCCCGAGCUUAACUCGGGAACUGCAUUUGAAACUGGCAGGCUAGAGUCUUGUAGAGGGGGAUGGAAUUCCGCGUGUAGCAGUGAAAUGCGUAGAUAUGCGGAGGAACACCGAUGGCGAAGGCAAUCCCCUGGACCUGUACUGACGCUCAUGCACGAAAGCGUGGGGAGCAAACAGGAUUAGAUACCCGAGUAGUCCCUGUCUCUUAUAC
rnacentral:rRNA from 1 species